rnacentral:rRNA from 1 species
UGGUUUAAUUCGAUGAUACGCGAGGAACCCUUACCUGGGCUAGAACGCAUUCGGAAUCAGGCCGAAAGGCCUGCGCCAGCGAUGGCCGCUUGCGGGGUGCUGCAUGGUUGUCGUCAGCUCGUGCCGUGAGGUGUCGGGUUAAGUCCCCAUAACGAGCGCAACCCCUACUGCUAGUUGCCAGCGGGUCAUGCCGGGGACUCUAGCGGAACUGCCAGCGUAAGCUGCGAGGAAGGUGGGGAUGACGUCAAAUCAGCACGGCCCUUACGUCCAGGGCUACACACGUGUUACAAUGGCCGGUACAGAGGGCAGCCACCCCGCGAGGGGGCGCGAAUCCCGAAAGCCGGUCCCAGUUCGGAUCGGAGUCUGCAACCCGACUCCGUGAAGCUGGAUUCGCUAGUAAUCGCGCAUCAGCCACGGCGCGGUGAAUACGUUCCCGGGCCUU